GUGCCAGCAGCCGCGGUAAUACGGAGGAUCCAAGCGUUAUCCGGAAUCAUUGGGUUUAAAGGGUCCGUAGGCGGGACAAUAAGUCAGCGGUGAAAGUCUGUGGCUCAACCAUAGAAUUGCCAUUGAUACUGUUGUUCUUGAGUGUUUAUGAAGUGGUUGGAAUAUGUAGUGUAGCGGUGAAAUGCAUAGAUAUUACAUAGAACACCGAUUGCGAAGGCAGAUCACUAUAUAAAAUACUGACGCUGAUGGACGAAAGCGUAGGUAGCGAACAGGAUUAGA
rnacentral:rRNA from 1 species